rnacentral:rRNA from 1 species
UACGGGGGGAGCAAGCGUUGUUCGGAUUUACUGGGCGUAAAGGGCGCGUAGGCGGCCACCGCAAGUCGACUGUGAAAUCUCCGGGCUUAACCCGGAAAGGUCAGCCGAUACUGCGGGGCUAGAGUGCAGAAGGGGCAACUGGAAUUCUCGGUGUAGCGGUGAAAUGCGUAGAUAUCGAGAGGAACACCUGCGGCGAAGGCGGGUUGCUGGGCUGACACGUGACGCUGAGGCGCAAAAGCUAGGGGAGCGAACGGG